rnacentral:rRNA from 1 species
UACGUAGGGGGCGAGCGUUGUCCGGAAUGACUGGGCGUAAAGGGCGCGUAGACGGUUGAUUAAGUCUGGAGUGAAAGUCCUGCUUUCAAGGUGGGAAUUGCUUUGGAGACUGGUUGACUUGAGUGCGGAAGAGGUAAGUGGAAUUCCCAGUGUAGCGGUGAAAUGCGUAGAGAUUGGGAGGAACACCAGUGGCGAAGGCGACUUACUGGGCCGUAACUGACGUUGAUGCGCGAAAGCGUGGGGAGCGAAC